rnacentral:rRNA from 1 species
UGGUGGAGUGAUUUGUCUGGUUAAUUCCGUUAACGAACGAGACCUUAACCUAUUAAAUAGUUAUAUGAACUUGGAUCUAUUCCUUUUUGUUCAUAGUACAACUUCUUAGAGGGACUCUUCACGUAAAGAGUGAAUGGAAGUUUGAGGCAAAAACA